rnacentral:ncRNA from 2 species
CCAUGUUCCGAGGGGGGCCCCGCUAGGGGGCUGAGAUACCGCCGGCGACGGGCGCGAAACGUCCAGACAACGCGGUGACCCUUAGGACCUGAUCCGGGUCAUGCCGGCGAAGGGACGGAAACGCGCGAUCGA